GGAAGAAUGCCCUAUGGGUUGUAAACUGCUUUUAUUUAGGAAGAAACCCCCGAACGUGUUCGGGGCUGACGGUACUAAACGAAUAAGGACCGGCUAACUCCGUGCCAGCAGCCGCGGUAAUACGGAGGGUCCAAGCGUUAUCCGGAAUUAUUGGGUUUAAAGGGUCCGCAGGCGGGUUAAUAAGUCAGUGGUGAAAUCUCUCAGCUUAACUGGGAAACUGCCAUUGAUACUGUUAGUCUUGAAUUCGGUCGAAGUAGGCGGAAUGUGUCAUGUAGCGGUGAAAUGCAUAGAUAUGACACAGAACACCGAUAGCGAAGGCAGCUUACUAGGCCUGAAUUGACGCUCAUGGACGAAAGCGUGGGGAGCAAACAGGAUUAGAUACCCUGGUAGUCCACGCCGUAAACGAUGAUUACUCGAUAUCAGCGAUAUACUGUUGGUGUCUAAGCGAAAGUGAUAAGUAAUCCACCUGGGGAGUACGAUCGCAAGGUUGAAACUCAA
rnacentral:rRNA from 1 species